CAAAUUGUCUAGUCCUGACUGCUCUUUUCUCUUGGAAUUAAUUAAGACAGAAGAUAAAGGACUUACAAUAAAAAACCCUUACCUUCUGUCUUGGAAUCAAUACUGUGUAUUGGCAGAAGAGUGGUAAGGGUUAGGCAAUGAGGGUCAAGUGACUUGCCCAGGGUCACACAGCUAAGAAGUAGCUGAGGUCAGAUUUGAACCUAGGAUCUCCUGUCUCUAGGCCUGACUCUCAAUCCACUGAGCAACCCAGCUGCCCCUGAUUUACAAUUUUUUUAAAUGAAAAAUAAAUAACUCUUGUCAUCUUCUGGAAGCAUUGGAUCUGGUUUGUGCACUUUAAUGUGAUCAGUGCUUGCCUUUCAAGCAUGAGUAGUUUCCCUAAAAUGGAGGCACUGCAUUCCACAUUGGAUGUAUCUUCUUUUGGUUGCACAGCCAUAAAGGCUGCAUCUUUAAAAUUGGCAAGACUAAGUGACUCUCUUUCUGACUCCCAUUCUUUCCUGCCUAUUCCUUCCUGCUGUAUCUGGAGGGUGGUGAUACAGAUCAUUCCCAGCCACCGGUACCAUGAACUGAAUCUGCGAGAGGCCAGGGAAUACCUUUGCCCUAUCCCUACUCUCUCUUACCUCACUUCCAGGAAAUGGGCCUGGAGUCCAGGUUCUGGGUUGUUGUUCCUUCUCAGUUUUAGAGGACAUCAGUGAUCCCCAUUGGAUCCAGCUUCAGUUGUGGCAAUCUUGGAAUCAGGACUGCAGGCAGGAUAGUGCAGCCAUAAGCCUGUCAGGAAGUCUGGAGAAACCGAGAUGCCAGGACAAUGUUCCUUUGGAAAAGUUUAUCCUACUGUCCACGGGACUGGACUGUGGAGGACCCACUGCCUACAACUGAGGGAACACGAUUGGAAGGGGCUGGAGCCAUUGGCAGAGCUAGAUCCUUGGAAUCUCUUAAGGGCACUGGAGAAGCUCAGGAACAGCAAGUGGAAUGCAGCUGGCCUUCUGGACACUGAGGGCCAGGAGAGGUGGCUGGCUGCAGCUUGCUGAGCAUCUUGGCAUCUUGGCGUGGUGGCAGCUAUUGUCCAGUUUAGUGGCGUUUCCCUUGAAUACCAUACUGGAGGAAG